AAGUAUAACAUCAUAUUUCUGAUGGCAUCAAUUUUUUUGCCUUUUUGUCUCAAUGAUAAUAGGCUGUGGCUCUACAUCCAAAAUAGCUAAACAAGAAGCUUCAGGUUCCCUUCUUCCACAUGUCUCCAUUUGUACAUGAACACACUUAGAAAGAAAGUUAUUUAUCCAUGAUCAAAGGAUCUCAUCUCCUGCUGGUACACUCACAGAAAAGAAUAUUUACUGAGAGUAUCUUUGUCUUUAAAACCAAGGACAAAGUGCUUCAAACAGCUAACCCUGAAGCAAGUCAUGCCCAAGAUGUGCGUUCCCUGCACCACUGCCUUGAGCCACUCCAAAUGCCACAUGUCCUCCUUGCCCAUCUAAUUUUCCACGUAAAUAUCAUCAGCCACCAUCAGGCACACUGAGUGAGAGCUUGAGACAACAGUGAGGGUCAUGAAAACAAGGCCUGAAGGUGAGGGACAGCUUCAAUCUCAAGUCAUGAUGAAGCAAAUAUCAUUAUUGAGAAGUUUUAAAUAAAGAUAUGCUUCAACAAGAAUUAUCCUG
rnacentral:lncRNA from 1 species